ensembl:lncRNA
AUGGCUGAAACCAUGCUGCAGGCACAGAAUAGCUUCUUCUGUCCGUGCAAAAGACAAAUACGUCAUUCAAACAUCUCUACUCGAACAUAUACGGGGCCAGGCACGAGAAAUGCAUCACGGGAUCCGUGGCAUCGCACGCUCCCUCCCACUCAGGACGCGGGGCUUGCCUUCUGGCAGGGGAGAGCACAUUACUCUUGGGCCAAGAACAUUCAUCGGCUCCCCAUUGCCAACCGGAUUUUGACUUCUCAGACUGUCAUUUCCUGUGCUUCCCAAUCCCGCCCCACUCCGGCUUCCCAGCCACAACUCCCUCCACUCAGUCACACCGCACACCACGGAUGGCGAAUGAGCCACCUCCUCCCUGAAGCCUUCCUUGACCAUUCCUACCCCACGAGGAUCCCCCCUGCCUCCCCGAGCUUCCUCACGGAUCGCCGUCUCCGCUGCCACCUGGGACCUGCUCCUGUGACACCCUCACGUGUGAGGUCUUAUCAUUCCGACUCAGUUACAAGUGUCUAGAGAGCCAGGUGCCAGCUUCUGCUUCAGCCAGCUAUCUGGAGGAUGAGGGCUGGCCCUGGACAUGACUCCAGAAGGAAAUUCAGCUUUAAAGAGAUCUUCAUGCCUGGACUCUACUUCCCAGAGAAUCUGAUUCUAUGGUUCUGGCUGAAGGGGGCAGAGAGGACCAACUACAUCAUCUGUAGAGGCCCUUGAUCAAAAAUUAUAAAGAAUUUCAAGAUAGUAUCCGCAGAACAUCAAGCAUCACACAGGUCACAAUCCCACGAAGCUGGUCCUGGGGGCAACUAUUUAAACUUCCCCAGGGGAUGUGCACCAGCCUUGAGAGCCACCAGUCAUGACAAUGUGGGGCCACUGAGGGCUCUGCACCUCUGAGCUCCCACGGCAGUAACGCGCCUCUGCAUGCCUGGGUUGCCCGGAGCACAAAUAUUUGUCGAAGGAAUGAAUAUAUGAACGGAUGGAGGGAAAUGAAGCUUGAACUAGAAAGCUGGGAAGGAUCUUUUUCCCACUUGCUUUAAAAAAAUCAAAUAUAU